rnacentral:ribozyme from 1 species
ACUGAUGGGUGGGGCUAUGUGCCCCAUUAAAGUACAUAGCAGGUCCAAAGUCCUG